rnacentral:rRNA from 1 species
UCGAGUGGCGAACGGGUGAGUAACACGUGGGUGAUCUGCCUUGCACUUCGGGAUAAGCUUGGGAAACUGGGUCUAAUACCGGAUAGGACAGCUGUUUAGUGUCAGUUGUGGAAAGUUUUUUCGGUGCAAGAUGAGCUCGCGGCCUAUCAGCUUGUUGGUGGGGUAAUGGCCUACCAAGGCGUCGACGGGUAGCCGGCCUGAGAGGGUGGACGGCCACAUUGGGACUGAGAUACGGCCCAGACUCC